rnacentral:lncRNA from 10 species
UCUGUUAAGGCCAAGUCAAGGCACAACCGUCGAUGCCAAAACCCAGGAAAGCAGGCAGACAGACCCACUGAGGUUUUUGACCAAAGGAGAGAGUCAGGAUCCCAGGCAUAUGCUAAACUGGUUGGCCCAAAUCCAACAGAUUGCAAAGAGUGGCAGGGCCUGGCAGCUGUCUGGAAGCCCUUCAUCUUACAGACAAGGAAGUGGUGUCAAAUGGACAGUAAAGGUGAAUCACAUACUCAGCUAUAGCCUGCUCCCAGCUGGGGCACUCCAGGCCCCUCCUCUGGUCACUACUGUAGAAAUUAACUGCAUGUGUCUCAAUCUGCGAGUGCAGCUGCUUCUAGAUGGUGGCACCUUCCAGAGCUUGGUUCGCCCUGUGUCUACCCAACAAGUACAGAUGCCAUCCCGGUGCUGUGAUCUUCCAGCCAUUUCUCCAUUUCUGUCACAGCCCAGAAAGUGACGCCGCAAGGCCUUAGAGCAAGGGCCGUUCCAUCAGCCCUGGCCUACCUGGGGCUCCAUGGCUCCUUUCUUUUUCUUUUUGUUUUGAGACGGAGUUUCACUCUUAUUGCAGAGGCUGGAGUGCAGUGGUGCAAUCUCGACUCACUGCAAUCUCUGCCUCCUGGGUUCAAGCGAUUCUCCUGCCUUAGCCUCCUGAGUAGCUGGGAUUACAGGCAUGCGCCACCACGCCUGGCUAAUUUUUUGUAUUUAGUAGAGACGGGGUUUCACCAUGUUGGUGAGGCUGGUCUCGAACUCCUGACCUCAGAUGAUCCACCUGCCUCGGACUACCAAAGUGCUGGAAUUACAGGCAUAAGCCACUGCGCCCGGCCCAUGGCUCCUUUCUUAACAUUGUGGCUUUGUAGAUUCUGGCUUUCCAGUUUAAUGAUUUAGGUGGAUCUUUUGGGGAAACCGAUUUUUGACUAGGUGACACACCUGGUACAGAAUUUAAAAGAUACAAAAGGGAAUAGAAUACAAAGGUCUUCUUCCCAGUGGUGACUUCCCAGGCCCUUGUCCUGCUUCCCACAGGCAACCACUGUUAGCAGCUUGGUGAGUUACUUAUACAAAAAGAAUGUAGCUAUGCAAGCAGUUAGCACAUCCAUAUGACGAUACAGACAUACACGUGCUACAUAUUUGCUAUGGAAAUGGUUGUAUACUAAUCAACCAUUCUGCAACCUGCUUUUCUGAUUUAAUCUAGAACAACCUCAUUCUUGUGUAUAGUACACCUCACACCACUAUAUUGGCUUGGUAUAAUAACUUUCCAACUGGCUUUUGUCUCAGCCAUGGGCAGUUUCUUUUCUGACCAUCCAUCUGGCCUCAGGUUCCCCUGGAGUCUUCCUUUCUCCAGCAGUCCUUCUCUGUCUUUGUAUAUCUCCAGGCUUUAGCAAUACGCUCACUCUAUUUUUCUUUUUUUGAUUUCACUUUUUAAAUUAAAGUAUUGUAAAACUGGCUUUUUGGUGCACAGUUUUGAGAAUUUCAGUACAUGAACACAUUUGUGUUCCCACCACCACAAUCAAGACAGAGGGCCGUUUUAUUGUCCCCAAAGCUCCACAUGCUAUCCUUUCAGGUCUACUUCCUUUUUACUGUUUUUGUAAUCACUGCACUUUUAAAAACAAGUUGUACGCCAGGUGCAGUGGCUCACGCCUGUAAUCCCAGCACUUUGCCGAGGAGGAGCACUUGAGGCCAGGAGUUCAAGACCAGCCUGGACAACAUGGUGAAACCCCGUCUCUACUAAAAAUACAAAAAUUAGUUGGGUAUGGUGGUGGGUGCCUGUAGUCCCAGCUACUUGGGAGGCUGAACAGGAGAAGUGCUUGAACCCGGGAGGCAGAGGUUGCAGUGAGCCGACAUUGUGCUACUGCAUUCCAGCCUGGGU